UCUUGAAAACUUCUAGGAGGAUGAACCAUAAGUUUCCCUCUUACAGACUCUGCUAUCCCUGGGCAAUUGUCAGGAUCUAGUACAGCUGGUAACUCAGAAGAAGCUGGUUGGGAUGGCCAUGGUGUGAAAAAGGAUACACAUGGGCUAUGGAAAUAAGGUGGUCCUCCUCCCAGUGUCUAAAUGAGGAUAACAUGUCACCAAUAUAUCGCAGCAAAGGAAUGGGACCAAUUCAUCAGGUGGGCUAACUGGCAUCCUGUUGAAGGGGUGCUUUUGGUUCUGAUGGGCCAAAGUUCUGUGACAUCAUUAUAAAGUCCUCCAGGAGGUGCUCUCAUUCAAAGACUCCUUUCCAUUUCUUUCCAGACCAGUGGUCACCAUUCCAUUCUGCUGGUUUUAGCUUCUGGAAAUGGAACUAUAGAUGUGGACAGUUCUGGACCCGUGUCCCCCCGACACAAUUUACCACAAACUGCAGUGUGUGGACUGCACAAGAAUGGAUGCUCUGGGAAAAUAAUGAAAAUAGUUUUGUGCAUUAGAGAACAUGGUUUAUAAAGCUUUCUGCAAUUUGCUAUUUAGACUUAACAGCCCUUCAGGUCUUUAGGGAAGGUGCCAUUAUUGCCACUUUGCAGAUAGGUCAACCAGUUUCAAAAACAACUUCUCCAGAACCAUAUCACUUGUAAGUUACUGAGCUAACAAUCUAAUUCAAAGACAGGUAUUUAAUUCAAGUUCAGAUUCAAGGCUCUUAGAUUUUGCUGACGUUGUCAAGAGGUUGCCUGAGCCUCUGAUCCCCUCUGUUUGCCAUUUUAAUAGAAAAGUCAAGUGCCUGCAGACUCCAGAGGAUGUGGAGAAGUAUUGGACACAAAAUCAUCAGGAGAUUCCACUUGAUUACCACAUUUGCAAUUUCUGGAGUAAGGUUGGAUAUCAUCAGAAUUCAGAGGACUUGCUGAGAUUUCUCAAGCCAUGUUGCAUAACCUGUGUCCUGUGGCAUGUGGGCUGAUCCACACACAAGGGGCAUGUGCAGCACUGGGCAGGGAAGAGCAACAGGAUGUAUCCCAGUUAAAUAACCAUGAGUAAAGCAGUCUGUCCUGGCCUUGAAUUCUCAGAAUGGGGAGACUUGUCACAUGAUGAACCUCCCCAAGUCCAUUCAAAGCACUGCUGAUCACAGGCCUUUUCCAGAAUUCCAAAUUCCCCAAAGGGAACAAGAAAACACCUGUUGCCUCUUUCCCUGCUGCUCAGAAUCACAUUGUUGGCUUCCUGUUUCUCCCCUCUGUCUCAAAGUCCAGUGUUACAAAUCAGAGAGACGUCCUGGUGCUAUUGUGGGUGAGAGGCAGCAGUUCCCCUUACCUUCCCACCAAGUUGAUCUAACAUAAGAUGAUUGGCACUGGUGCAGUUUCUCAUCCUUUUCCCCCAAACAAAACACGCACUUUGGCCACUUUGGCUCGGCACAGUGGCGCAUGCCUGAAAUCCCAGUAGCUCGGGAGGCUGAGGCAGGAGGAUGGCAAGUUCAAAGCCAGUCUCAGCAGCGGUGGGACGCUAAGCAACUCAGUGAAACCCUGUAUCUAAAUAAAAUACAAAAUAGGGCUGGGGAUGUGGUUCAGUGGCUGGGUGCCCCUGAGUUUAAUCCCCAGUACUCCCCCCGCCCCCCCAAAAAUAAAUAAAUAAAC
rnacentral:lncRNA from 1 species